CUCAAUCUGGUAAGUAGGGGUAAAAUUCUACCUCCACGUUGUUGUUCUUCCCCAGGUUCCACCACAGCUACUGGAAUAUCUGGAAUUAUAUUUACAACAUAUAGAGGUGGCAACUCCCAGGGGCAGCAGAGUCGCUGCUUCCCAGGAUAGAGUCCUCCAUCUUUGAAUGCCUAGAAGAGUACAUCUGGUCAUUUAAAAGGCCACAGAAACACAGAUGCUUUAAAGUUUCCUUAGGUGGAGCUUGGCCCAAUCAUCGAUUUUUUUGAGUAAGGUGACAAUUGGGAAUUCUGGUUAAAGGUUCAAGAUGGCAGAUUGCAGCUGUAUUAUGUGGGGAAUAUUUUGGCUCAUCGUCCUGGUGUUUUUUGGCUGGCCCUUAAGCAUUGUCUUGGGUGGCCUCUAUGGAUUCCUCUCCCCUCUCACUACCUUAAUAGGACUGGAUGACUUCAGUGAAGCACUGCUGAGGGGAGUAAAUUUGGGGAGACAGUGUGCUAAGAAUGUACAAAAUGGCAAGCCCCUUUGCUGAGCAAUAAAGACAGAAUUGCAACUGACAA